GUCAGCAGAAAUAAACAUACAGACAGACAGACAGAAGGAGGUGUUUUGAAAUGAAAAGUCUGAAGUCAUGAGUUAUCAGGAUUCAUCCUGCUAUAUUCUGUAGAACUGGGAAUUCAGGAAUGAUCUUCAGGAUCAAGAAAACUUAAGAUACCACCAGAAUGCUGAACCACUUCAGUAAAAUAUUUGGUAACUGCUA